rnacentral:rRNA from 1 species
AUGAACGCUGGCGGCGUGCCUAAUACAUGCAAGUCGAGCGAACAGAUGAGGAGCUUGCUCCUCUGACGUUAGCGGCGGACGGGUGAGUAACACGUGGAUAACCUACCUAUAAGACUGGGAUAACUUCGGGAAACCGGACCUAAUACCGGAUAAUAUAUUGAACCGCAUGGUUCAAUAGUGAAAGACGGUUUUGCUGUCACUUAUAGAUGGAUCCGCGCCGCAUUAGCUAGUUGGUAAGGUAACGGCUUACCAAGGCAACGAUGCGUAGCCGACCUGAGAGGGUGAUCGGCCACACUGGAACUGAGACACGGUCCAGACUCCUACGGGAGGCAGCAGUAGGGAAUCUUCCGCAAUGGGCGAAAGCUUGACGGAGCAACGCCGCGUGAGUGAUGAAGGUCUUCGGAUCGUAAAACUCUGUUAUUAGGGAAGAACAAAUGUGUAAGUAACUAUGCACGUCUUGACGGUACCUAAUCAGAAAGCCACGGCUAACUACGUG